AUUGAACGCUGGCGGCAGGCCUAACACAUGCAAGUCGAACGAGUGGCGGACGGGUGAGUAAUGUCUGGGAAACUGCCUGAUGGAGGGGGAUAACUACUGGACACGGUAGCUAAUACCGCAUACCAUCUGCUUUUCCCAGAUGGGAUUAGCUAGUAGGUGGGGUAAAGGCUCACCUAGUCGACGAUCCCUAGCUGGUCUGAGAGGAUGACCAGACACACUGGAACGGAGACACGGUCCAGACUCCUACGGGAGGCAGCAGGGGGGAAUAUUGAACAAUGGGCGCAAGCCGGAUGCAGCCAUGCCGCGUGUAUGAAGAAGGCCUUCGGGUUGUAAAGUACUUUCAGCGGGGAGGCGUUACCCGCAGAAGAAGCACCGGCUAACUACGUGCCAGCAGCCGCGGUAAUAC
rnacentral:rRNA from 1 species